rnacentral:rRNA from 1 species
CAGCAGCCGCGGGAAUACGGAGGGUGCAGGCGUUACUCGGAAUUACUGGGCGUAAAGGGCGCGUAGGUGGUUAUUUAAGUGAGAUGUGAAAGCCCCGGGCUUAACCUGGGAACUGCAUCUUAUACUGGGUAACUGGAGUGCAGUAGAGGGUAGUGGAAUUUCCGGUGUAGCAGUGAAAUGCGUAGAGAUCGGAAGGAACAUCUGUGGCGAAGGCGACUAUCUGGGCCAACACUGACACUGAGGCACGAAAGCGUGGGGAGCAAACAGGAUUAGAUACCCCAGUAGUCCCUGUCUCUUAUAC